rnacentral:rRNA from 1 species
AUUGCCUCAGUAACGGCGAGUGAAGCGGCAACAGCUCAAAUUUGAAAUCUGGCUCCUUCGGGGCCCGAGUUGUAAUUUGCAGAGGAUGCGUCGGGUACGGGUGCCUUCCGAGUUCCCUGGAACGGGACGCCAUAGAGGGUGAGAGCCCCGUCUGGUAGGAUACCCAGCCCGUGUGACGCUCCCUCGACGAGUCGAGUAGUUUGGGAAUGCUGCUCUAACGGGAGGUAUACUCCUUCCAAGGCUAAAUACCGGCUGGAGACCGAUAGCGCACAAGUAGAGUGAUCGAAAGAUGAAAAGCACUUUGAAAAGAGAGUCAAACAGCACGUGAAAUUGUUAAAAGGGAAGCGCUCGCUACCAGACUUGGGUUCGGCGGUUCAACCGGGGCCACGCCCCGGGGCAUUCCGCCGGCCCAGGCCAGCAUCAGCUUUCCGUCGGGGGUAAAGGCGUCGGGAAUGUGGCUCCCCUUCGGGGGAGUGUUAUAGCCCGUCGUGUCAUACCCUUCGGGGGGCUGAGGUACGCGCUUCUGCAAGGAUGCUGGCGUAAUGGUAGCUAGUGACCCGUCUUGAAACACGGACCAAGGAGUCAACCUUAUGUGCGAGUGCCCGGGCGUAAAACCCCAGCGCGGAAUGAAAGUGAACGUAGGUGAGAGCUUCGGCGCAUCACCGACCGAUCCUGAUGUCCUCGGACGGAUUUGAGUGAGAGCAUAUAGGGUUGGACCCGAAAGAAGAUGAACUAUGCGUGUGUAGGGUGAAGCCAGAGGAAACUCUGGUGGAGGCUCGCAGCGGUUCUGACGUGCAAAUCGAUCGUCAAA